UACGUAGGUGGCAAGCGUUGUCCGGAUUUACUGGGUGUAAAGGGCGUGCAGCCGGAGAGACAAGUCAGAUGUGAAAUCCACGGGCUCAACCCGUGAACUGCAUUUGAAACUGUUUCCCUUGAGUGUCGGAGAGGUAAUCGGAAUUCCUUGUGUAGCGGUGAAAUGCGUAGAUAUAUGGAGGAACACCGGUGGCGAAAGCGGCUCUCUGGCCUGUAACUGACACUGAGGCUCGAAAGCGUGGGGAGCAAACAGG
rnacentral:rRNA from 1 species